rnacentral:tRNA from 1 species
GCCCGUGUGGCUCAGUGGCUAGAGCACUGGUCUAGUAAACCAGGGGUCGACAGUUCAAUUCUGUCCUCGGGCA